rnacentral:rRNA from 1 species
UACGUAGGGUGCAAGCGUUAAUCGGAAUUACUGGGCGUAAAGCGUGCGCAGGCGGCUUUGCAAGACAGAUGUGAAAUCCCCGGGCUUAACCUGGGAACUGCAUUUGUGACUGCAUGGCUCGAGUACGGUAGAGGGGGAUGGAGUUCCGCGUGUAGCAGUGAAAUGCGUAGAUAUGCGGAGGAACACCGAUGGCGAAGGCAGUCCCCUGGACCUGUACUGACGCUCAUGUGCGAAAGCGUGGGGAGCAAACAGG